rnacentral:sRNA from 1 species
GCUGGGUGUGGUGGCAGGCACCUGUAAUCCCAGCUACUUGGAAGGCUGCGGCAGGAGAAUCGCUUGAACCCAGGAGGCGGAAGUUGCAGUGAGCCGAGAUAGUGCCAUUUGCACUCCAGCCUGGGUGACAAGAGCGAGACUAUGCCUCAAAAAAUGAUAAUAACUUUUUUUUUUUUUGAGACAGAGUUUCGCUCUUGUCACCCAGGCUGGAGUGCAAUGGCGCGAUCUCGGCUCACCGCAACCUCCGCCUCCUGGGUUCAGGCAAUUCACCUGCCUCAGC